CCAGCCCAUCCCCACCCGAUCCCGACCUUCCUCGCCCCUCCAUCCCGAUCGCCGCCCUCGUGACCCCGGUCGCCGCCUCACUCCCAUACAUGCGCCACCGCCUGCUCCUACCUCCAACGCGUCGCCGCUAGCCACUAACACCACACGUGUCGCCGCCAGACCUAACAUUCAACAGCGUUGCCAUCGAAGCCCGACCUUGAAUUGCAUCGUUGACGAGCCCCAACCUCCAAUCGCGUCGCCGCUGGCCCCGACCACCAACCACGCCACUAUUGGGACACCUUCCUCCAGUCGCGCCAUCGUCGAGCCCUGCCAACCAACGCUUCCCCUCCCACUCCUCACGGCCUCCGUCCAACCACUACCUCCCCACCCCAUCCCGCUUGUCUCCGGGCCAACCAUCGCAUCCCCGUCCUUUGGCCCCGACCUUCAGCUGGGGGAGGUAUCGAUCUGUAGUUGGAGGAAGUAUGGACUUGGAGCUGGUCACGCGAAUCGCUGCGACCCACUAUCGUCGAGGUCAACCACCCACAGCCGUUGUUGCAGCAACCAACCAGAGCUGCGCGAAGGAAUCUCAAGCUCCACCACCCGUUGUCACUCUCCGUGUAUGUUGUGCACGGACGAGCCAAUCAUCUCGAAUGGGUGCCACCUCCCUUCCCUGCUCUGUUCUUCAAAUAGCAUCAACGAAGUGGUUCUUUGAUGCCCAUUAGGUGUUCAUGCAAAUACCUAUCAGGGAUUGUCACCACUGCAGCGCCGAGAUCCCCAUUUCCACCAUGUUCCGAUGAAGUCCAGGCUUCUUUUUUGGGCGGUUCAAAUUGUUCUUGGUUUAGUUUUUUUUUUUCUUUUUUUGUCGGUUGCUACCUUGUUCUUGGUCAUUUUGUUAAUUGGUAUUGUGUUCUUUGAAAAUGUGACAAAAUAGGUAGUCACAACAAGAACACAAGGUGUUGUGAUGGAUGUAAGUCCAUUUGAAUAGCAACAGUUUUUCUAUUUUGAUAUUGCUAUUGCAGAAUAAUGUUUCUUAGAA